rnacentral:rRNA from 1 species
GCCAGCAGCCAUAUCACUCUGAAACUCACAACUGGCAACCCACUGAAGCUAAGCGGGUGUGAGCCUGGUCAGUACCUGGACAGAAGACCUCCUGGGAAAAACUAAGGUUGCUUCUGGAA